rnacentral:rRNA from 1 species
AACGAACGCUGGCGGCAGGCUUAACACAUGCAAGUCGAACGCAUCCUUCGGGGUGAGUGGCAGACGGGUGAGUAACGCGUGGGAACGUGCCCUUCAGUUCGGGAUAACCCAGGGAAACUUGGGCUAAUACCGGAUGCGUGCGAGAGCAGAAAGAUUUAUCGCUGAAGGAUCGGCCCGCGUCUGAUUAGCUAGUUGGUGGGGUAAUGGCCAACCAAGGCGACGAUCAGUAGCUGGUCUGAGAGGAUGAUCAGCCACAUUGGGACUGAGACACGGCCCAAACUCCUACGGGAGGCAGCAGUGGGGAAUAUUGGACAAUGGGCGCAAGCCUGAUCCAGCCAUGCCGCGUGAGUGAUGAAGGCCUUAGGGUUGUAAAGCUCUUUCGUCCGGGACGAUAAUGACGGUACCGGAAGAAGAAGCCCCGGCUAACUUCGUGCCAGCCGCCGCUGUAA